AUUUCAUCUGGAGGAAAUGCUCUGUGACUGAGUGGUUAAGAAAAAAAAAAAAAUCAAACAAAUCUGUUCUUAUCAGUUUAAUAUCUGAUACGUCCCCUAUCUGGGGACCAUAUAUUAAAUGGAUUUUUGGGACAGGGAGAUGAAAGAAGAGCUUGCUCUGUCCACUCCAAGCAUUGACCUGGUAUUGCAGUACCUCCAGGACCGGUGCACCUCUC
rnacentral:snRNA from 1 species